rnacentral:ncRNA from 1 species
AUUUGUCGUCUAAUCUAGUUGAAAUAUUGUCCAACUAGACAGAACAGCAGUUAAAUCA